UCGUCAAUCCCAACUAUGAAAAUUGGAUUUCUCAAGAGCAAACUGUGCUAAGUUGGAUCAAUGGGUCUCUCACUCCCCUUGUGCUUGCAACGGUUGCCUGUUUCACAUUUGCCUUUUCCACCUGGAGGUCCUUAUAAGGAGAUAUGCAUCUCAAUCAUAGAAUCGGGGUUUGCAGCUCCACAGAGAUCUCUUUUGUAUCCAUGCAUGGUAAUCUUAGCAUUUCUGACUAUCUCGACAAGAUAAAUCUCAUUGCAGAUAAUCUUGCUCUUGCUGGAUAUCCUAUUAGCAAUGAAGAUAUGGUAUCUAUUAUUAUGAACAACGUUGGUCCUCUUUAUUAGAAUACAGAACGAAGGAUGGAUGAUCAACAUCAAGCUGCUCUUGAUCUCAGCUCUCAACUGACAACCCUACAUGUCUCUAAUUCUGGUCGUGGCAGAGGCUGAGAUCUUCAUUAGACUCCAUUUUUUGGAGGACUUAACCCUAAUCCUCCUUCUAGAUUUUGCAAAUCGGGCACGCUAACUAUAUUUGGUGCUCGAGGACAUGGUAUUUCAAACUGUGGAACCUUUAUUCUUGGUCAUCAUCCUUCCACCAACAAUUCAUCAUUUGGCAAAAUUUCUUGUCAAAUUUGUAGCCGCAUUGGUCAUUCAGCUUUAGAUUGCUACAAUCGGCAGAACCUUUCCUUUGAAGGUAGAGUUCCCACCAAGAAACUCAGUGCUUUGGCUGCCUUUGUAUCUACACCGUCAUCAUCUACAUGGUUGCUUAAUAGUGGAGCCAACACCCAUGUUACCUCCGAUCUCAAUAAUCUGCAGUUCCUAAAAGAAUACAUUAGCAUUGACCAAAUUGGUGGUAUAGAACUUAAAAACAGGGAGGAUGCUAUUUCGGGGGAGGAGUAGAUAUAGUCUAUCUGUUGCGCCCUCAAUCAGAACAUGAUCUUGAUCCCAGUCGUCAUUUUGCUUUUGUUGGUGUACGAGUCCCCACACAAGUAUGACAUUCUAGGCUAGGAUAUUCUUCAUUCAAAAUUUUAUCUAGGAUGUUGUCAAAUAAAACUGUGCCCUUCUCGAGCCCUUUGUUGAUUCAUUUUGUCGGUCUUGUCCAUUAGGAAAGAGUAUUAUAUAAGCUUCCUUUUCAAUUAUUUGAGUAUGUAUCAAAUUAUCCUUUGGAGUUAAUUGAUUCAAAUGUUUGGUCUUGUUCUAAAAUAAAAAUGCAUCAAACUAAUGAAGGAGGUGAAUAUACUUACCUUGCUCUAUGACAAUACCUAGCUAACAAUGGCAUUUGUCAACUGUUUUC